CAAAAAGGUAUAAAAAUCUGUAUUCAUAUUCUGACAAAACAACGAUACAACACAGCGUUGCAGGGGAGUGGGACUAGAUGGCCUUUCAAAGUCCCUUCCAACUCAAAGGAUUCUGUGAUUCUAUGAUUCGGAGUAGAUUUUCCUCCACUGCAGUCUUUUGCUGGGAUUUAGAAUAGUUGAGAUAGAAAGAAGGGCCAAGAUGACCAAAUUCUCACAUGCUCUGUUCAGUAUUUCCCCUCCAUUGUAAUUCUAGGUAGUAACGUAAUGCUUGGGUGUUUCUUUGGCAGCUGCCAAUUAACAGUCCUACACUUAGUUGGUCACUUCAGCAAUUUGGCUUAUUUUGCUUUCGGUGAAACUUCCUUUGGUUUCCGACGUGUUCACCCCACUCGUAUUUGUGGGGAGUACAGAUCUUUAAGAACACCUAAAGGGACUCAGUUCUCCUUCCCCCAGUGCUGGGAUGUGCAAUGAAGUGUGUAAAAUCACUAUUCCUAGGUUAAGAGCUGUGACAUUCGUUUCCACAGUGCUCAUCUGCAGGGACAAAACCACUCACAGGUAGUCUCCGUUGAGCGAGGAAGGUGGCACUACAGUGCAGAUCACAGUGAAGGCCUCCAAGAAGAGCAGAAUGACACUCCAGGGCGCUGCGCAGAGCACUGCUGCAGCCUGGGCUGACACACGGCUCUGCAUCCUCCUGUUCCACUUCUGUGCUUUUGGCACUCAAUUCACCGAAACUGACCACGCCUGACGUACAGAGGGGUGCUCCGAACACCGAUGCUAACUAAGAAAGCAGCAUUCAUGAUAGGAACCCAUCUACAAACACCAGAUGAAAAACUCUGUCCUCCUCGUGGAUUUUGGGGGACUUUUGAUGUCUGCGAUGUUCUAAUGAAACUCACUCUGAGCCCAGAUUGAGUUUCGCACAAAGAAGCCCACAGGAUCCAGUCUCCAGGUCACAACAUGCUGCAGCUUCUACCAGUCAAGCCCCACUCUUUUAGGAAGAUAAAUAAGCCAGGCUCCGUGGGAUACAAGUUAGGCAGAGCCGGGAUGGGAGUGAAGGCGUAUUCAUCCUAAUUGCAGCUGAGAGUUUGCAGAAAAGUUAACCAUUUGGAUUUGUGCCUCUCCCCCGCUGCCCCAGGAGCCAGGGAAGGGCCAGCCCCGAGGCCAGGCCUCUCAACUCCGCAGAAAGCCCUUUGCAAUGCCUUCAUCUCUGCAGAGCCCUGCCCGCAGAGGAACGGCCCAGCAGUCGUCAGGUGUUCUCUGCUCGUUCCUUCCCCAUGUGGUAACGCGGAGGAAGAAGGAUGAACAUAGAAGUGGGACCUCGCCUGCCCAAAGCACGGUCAUGACACAGAACGGCAGAACUGCCAGCGCGGUUGCAGUGUUUAAUCUCGGAGCAAGCAGCAUUUGUUUCCAUUAAUGCCAUGGUUACAGGCAGUUGCGCGCGCACACCGAUGCACGCAUGCAGCAUGCACAGACACGAAGCACGCACACAAAGAUUCAGCUUGAAAAUGAGCAAAACCAGGACGCUGCGCCCAUCCCCACGUGCCACGUCCCAGGGUGCCACCGCCACGGACACAGCGCAGGGAGACGCGCUCUGGAAGGAGCCUGCCAGCCUGAACGGCAGCAGCGGUGCUGGGCACAGCAGCCAGCAAGCCUGGCACAUGGAGCAGCUGUGGGGCUUCCAGCCACUGUCCUGCACCGCCUGCAGAGAAGGGGCUACAACUGGAGGAAGCACCGCUUUAGAGUGGGGAGGAGAGCAUCAAGAGGGUCUCUCUACUGGGAUAACAGCUCCCACUGUAACAACUGGAAAAGUAAAAACAAAUAAACCCUUUUUGUUUCCACUCAAGAUUAUUCGAGUAAUUUUUAUUGAAAAUAUAAGAUCUACAAAGCCAUGGAUACCCAGCGUGGAAGAACUCAUUAAGUUAGCACAUUCAUCUUUAAAAGGAAAAUUUCAGGUUGACCUAAGGUACAAUAAUGUUGAAUUUAAAAUCUUGUCUUUCCUUCUGUAAGUUUCAAAUCUCUUUUCAUUAGGAGGUUCUGUGCAAGAGCUGCUUGUCACGAAAGGAAACACUUUACAAUUCAUGAGUGUGUUCAUUAUAGAAUAAAUGAACAGCAACAAUAUACUAGCCUGCUUUUUUUCCUGUUAACAGUCGUGUGUUAAAGUAAACUCUUAGUUUUGUUUUGUUUUUCCAUGAUUUGGAAAUUAGUUACAUAUGCACCAAAGGAGCUAGUAAUUUCUGCUGCUUGUCAGCUACACACAAUGAGUAUAUUGCUGUGUGCUUUCCCCAACAACGAGGAUUUUAGUAAAAUGCAAGGUGUAUACAACAUAAUACCAAAACCUGCAUCACAGAAAAGGUUAAUUGUUUUCUUAUUCAGCUGCCAGAGUUGAUAACCUUAUGCCCCUCCCCAGAGCCAAAGUAGGGGUGGCCAUCCGUUAGGUUAUGUAAAUUAAACAUAUACAUUUUCCUUGUUGGCAAGUUCCAAGCAGUAAGCGAGAGUGCAAACAAGGAUCUGUAAGCUGCCACAAAAUGUAUUCGUAUUUCUACUCGGUGUUGUAAGAGCCAAAGGGAGGACACGUAUGUCAGAUGUUGAAAGAACAACUGAAUCUUUGUUUUUGAUCAUUAUGGUCAGCGUGUCAUGAGGUCUUGUAUCUGAAUGCUAAAAAUGGCACCACACUUGGACAUCCCAUAGCCUUACACAGUACAUUUGUGUUUCCCUAGCCACUGAGCACUGGUCUCACGGAGACCCUGACUUUAUAAGCUAACAAAAUAUAGAUUUGGGUGCUGAAGAAUCAAAGGGAGGGCUCAUACCAUUAACCCUCGCACCGAAACCUAAAUUUAGGAUUUUACUUAAAGCCACACUGAAUCAGUUGUGAGAGGGUGAAGAUAUAAAUACACCUCUCUACUUCAUCGGUAGGAAGGUGGACAACUGACCAUUCAAACGGAGGGUCUGGAAACAAAGCUUAGUUGUCCUUUAAACAAUGAAAAGGAGAGGCAUACAUAAAUGGUCACCAAGGCACAAUAUGACAAAGGUGAAGAGUCCCUGAGACUCUGGUCUGGGUCUGUACCAUUCCCCUCCCUAUACAAGUAAAUGAGAACAUUUAGGAAAAUAUAAUACAAAAUCUCUUACAGGAAAUAUAGACUACACUUGCUAAAAUCACUUCCCUAAAAG
rnacentral:lncRNA from 1 species